rnacentral:rRNA from 1 species
AGUGAACGCUGGCGGUAGGCCUAACACAUGCAAGUCGAACGGCAGCACAGUAAGAGCUUGCUCUUACGGGUGGCGAGUGGUGGACGGGUGAGGAAUACAUCGGAAUCUACUUUUUCGUGGGGGAUAACGUAGGGAAACUUACGCUAAUACCGCAUACGACCUACGGGUGAAAGCAGGGGAUCUUCGGACCUUGCGCGAUUGAAUGAGCCGAUGUCGGAUUAGCUAGUUGGCGGGGUAAAGGCCCACCAAGGCGACGAUCCGUAGCUGGUCUGAGAGGAUGAUAAGCCACACUGGAACUGAGACACGGUCCAGACUCCUACGGGAGGCAGCAGUGGGGAAUAUUGGACAAUGGGCGCAAGCCUGAUCCAGCCAUACCGCGUGGGUGACGAAGGCCUUCGGGUUGUAAAGCCCUUUUGUUGGGAAAGAAAAGCAGCAGGUUAAUACCCCGCUGUUCUGACGGUACCCAAAGAAUAAGCACCGGCUAACUUCGUG